rnacentral:rRNA from 1 species
AUGCAGUCGACGAUGAAGCCCUUCGGGGUGGAUUAGUGGCGAACGGGUGAGUAACACGUGGGCAAUCUGCCCUUCACUCUGGGACAAGCCCUGGAAACGGGGUCUAAUACCGGAUAACACUCUGUCCCGCAUGGGACGGGGUUAAAAGCUCCGGCGGUGAAGGAUGAGCCCGCGGCCUAUCAGCUUGUUGGUGGGGUAAUGGCCUACCAAGGCGACGACGGGUAGCCGGCCUGAGAGGGCGACCGGCCACACUGGGACUGAGACACGGCCCAGACUCCUACGGGAGGCAGCAGUGGGGAAUAUUGCACAAUGGGCGAAAGCCUGAUGCAGCGACGCCGCGUGAGGGAUGACGGCCUUCGGGUUGUAAACCUCUUUCAGCAGGGAAGAAGCGAAAGUGACGGUACCUGCAGAAGAAGCGCCGGCUAACUACGUGCCAGCAGCCGCGGUAAUACGUAGGGCGCAAGCGUUGUCCGGAAUUAUUGGGCGUAAAGAGCUCGUAGGCGGCUUGUCACGUCGGAUGUGAAAGCCCGGGGCUUAACCCCGGGUCUGCAUUCGAUACGGGCUAGCUAGAGUGUGGUAGGGGAGAUCGGAAUUCCUGGUGUAGCGGUGAAAUGCGCAGAUAUCAGGAGGAACACCGGUGGCGAAGGCGGAUCUCUGGGCCAUUACUGACGCUGAGGAGCGAAAGCGUGGGGAGCGAACAGGAUUAGAUACCCUGGUAGUCCACGCCGUAAACGUUGGGAACUAGGUGUUGGCGACAUUCCACGUCGUCGGUGCCGCAGCUAACGCAUUAAGUUCCCCGCCUGGGGAGUACGGCCGCAAGGCUAAAACUCAAAGGAAUUGACGGGGGGCCCGCACAAGC